rnacentral:rRNA from 1 species
UAGGGAAUCUUCCGCAAUGGGCGAAAGCCUGACGGAGCAACGCCGCGUGAGUGAUGAAGGUCUUCGGAUCGUAAAACUCUGUUAUUAGGGAAGAACAAACGUGUAAGUAACUAUGCACGUCUUGACGGUACCUAAUCAGAAAGCCACGGCUAACUACGUGUCAGCAGCCGCGGUAAUACGUAGGUGGCAAGCGUUAUCCGGAAUUAUUGGGCGUAAAGCGCGCGUAGGCGGUUUUUUAAGUCUGAUGUGAAAGCCCACGGCUCAACCGUGGGGGGUCAUUGGAAACUGGAAAACUUGAGUGCAGAAGAGGAAAGUGGAAUUCCAUGUGUAGCGGUGAAAUGCGCAGAGAUAUGGAGGAACUCCAGUGGCGAAGUCGACUUUCUGGUCUGUAACUGACGCUGAUGUGCGAAAGCGUAGGGAUCAAACAGG